ACUGGCUUGUGUCACGUUUAGCCUUACACAACAAAUGGGAACCUGAAAAAAAGAAAAGCUUUCCUUUUUCUUUUAACCUUCCUCAAUUUCUCUUAAGAAAAAAAAAGUUUAGGGUUUUCGAAUUCAAGAAUUAACGAAAUCAGGGGAAGAGACAGAGAGAGAGAGAGAGUUAGGGAGAGAGAGAGAGAGAGAGAGAGAGAGAGAGAUAAAGUGAUCGAGAUAGAGAGAGAGAGAGAGCAGUGCGGAAAAAAAAAUUCAACGGCGAGCGAAGGAGGAGCAUGAUACAAACCAAUAUGAAAAGGAGUGGGCCUUCUUGGGCUUGGACUUUGCUUAGUGUUUAAGCCCAAUUACCUCUUUAUUGUCUAGUAUUUAAGCUUUCUUCUUCUUUGUAAUGGUUUCUUUAAGACUAGAGUCAGGUUGGGACACAAAUUGGGAUAGAUAGACAAAAGAACUAAGACAGACGAUAUUGUCUUACGUUGAAAGACAAGAAAAGAACAUAAAGGAUGAGUGGAUAAAUAGCCUCAAGAGAAGAUUCGGAGAAAACUAUGACCGAGCUUAACAGAGCAAAGAUCAGGAGAAGAUUUGACGAAAUUUUACCAAAUGAUGAUGCUGGAGAUUGUGGUGGCGUUCCUGUGUUUAAUUUUUGGAAUAUCUUUACAUUUGGUAAGAUCCAGACACGAUAGUUUUGGUACUUGCAAUGUUGAUAUGAACACAGAGAAGACGUCUGAGGAGCUUGUGGAGAUGUUUAAACGCGAAGUAUUGCUAAAGAGAUUGCUCAUAAUGGAACUGAUCUCUUUAAGCUCCCAAGUUUCCCCAACCCGGCAACAACCGUUGGUCAGAUGAGCUUUACCAUGGAGAAGUUGAUCAUCUCACCAAAUGUUCUUUAUAUUCCAUGGAAGUAUCUGAACCAGUUCUCCCCAGAGUAAAAGAAAAUAAUAUUCGUAUUCCUUCUUUAUCACAUACCAACCAGCCAACUGCAGAAAUUUUGCAGAUUUACUUGACAACUUGGCUUGCAGAGGGUGGAUGGGAUAUUUGAUUUGGUAGGGGAAGAAAUUAGAAUUGCCUUCUAAACCUCGAACGCUGUUCCAGCUUCUAGUUAAGUUUCAGUGACUUAAAGCAUAAAUGAUUUGACAAAGUACUCAAUGACUUAAGAGAGAGGUCUUUAGAAUCUUAGCUGUGUCAAACUUUCAACAAUUUUGCUAUAUUGUGUUUACUGGAAACCAUAUGUGUUAUUACCUAGUCCGGGUACUUUACUGAGCGAUGUUUCUUUACUAAAGUAUAGAAAGGGAUUUGACUUACAAUAUUUGUGAUUAUGCAUACAGUAAUGCUACAUAUUUCGUAGAAAAUCUCUGAGGUUUUAGCAAUGGAGGCCUUCACUGUUCUCGGGAUUCUGACCAACUUACUCGUACCCACCCAAAAAAUAGAAAGAUUUUGCGACGAGAGAUAUAUGACAGCAAUGAAAAGAGAA